UACGUAGGGGGCUAGCGUUGUUCGGAAUUACUGGGCGUAAAGCGCGCGCAGGCGGUUCUUUAAGUCAGGGGUGAAAGCCCAGAGCUCAACUCUGGAAUUGCCUUUGAAACUAGAGAACUUGGGUACGGGAGAGGUGAGUGGAAUUCCGAGUGUAGAGGUGAAAUUCGUAGAUAUUCGGAGGAACACCAGUGGCGAAGGCGGCUCACUGGCCCGGUACUGACGCUGAGGUGCGAAAGCGUGGGGAGCAAACAGG
rnacentral:rRNA from 1 species